GCAGUCGUACGAGAGUUUUUAACUCAAGUGGCGGACGGGUGAGUAACACGUAAGAAUUUACCUUUAGGAGGGGGAUAACAAAUGGAAACAGUUGCUAAUACCCCAUAUGCUUUCGAGUGAAAUGGAUUUUUCCGCCUAGAGAGAAGCUUGCGGCUGAUUAGCUUGUUGGUGAGGUAAUGGCUCACCAAGGCGACGAUCAGUAUCUGGUUUGAGAGGACGAUCAGACACACUGGAACUGAGACACGGUCCAGACUCCUACGGGAGGCAGCAGUGGGGAAUUUUCCGCAAUGGGCGAAAGCCUGACGGAGCAAUACCGCGUGAGGGAUGACGGCCUAUGGGUUGUAAACCUCUUUUUUCAGGGAGGAAUCAAUGACGUGUACCUGAAGAAUAAGCAUCGGCUAACUCCGUGCCAGCAGCCGCGGUAAGACGGAGGAUGCAAGUGUUAUCCGGAAUCACUGGGCGUAAAGCGCCUGUAGGUGGUUUAAUAAGUCAACUGUUAAAUCUCGAGGCCCAACCUCGAAAUCGCAGUCGAAACUAUUAGACUAGAGUAUAGUAGGGGUAAAGGGAAUUUCCAGUGGAGCGGUGAAAUGCGUAGAGAUUGGAAAGAACACCGAUGGCGAANGCACUUUACUGGGCUAUUACUAACACUCAGAGACGAAAGCUAGGGUAGCAAAUGGGAUUAGAUACCCCAGUAGUCCUAGCUGUAAACAAUGGAUACUAGAUGUUGAACAGAUCGACCUGUGCAGUAUUAAAGCUAACGCGUUAAGUAUCCCGCCUGGGNAGUAUGCUCGCAAGA
rnacentral:rRNA from 1 species